rnacentral:rRNA from 1 species
AUUGAACGCUGGCGGCAUGCCUUACACAUGCAAGUCGAACGGUAACAGGUCUUCGGAUGCUGACGAGUGGCGAACGGGUGAGUAAUACAUCGGAACGUGCCUAGUAGUGGGGGAUAACUACUCGAAAGAGUGGGUAAUACCGCAUGAGAUCUACGGAUGAAAGCAGGGGAUCGCAAGACCUUGUGCUACUAUAGCGGCCGAUGGCAGAUUAGGUAGUUGGUGGGAUAAAAGCUUACCAAGCCGACGACCUGUAGCUGGUCUGAGAGGACGAUCAGCCACACUGGGACUGAGACACGGCCCAGACUCCUACGGGAGGCAGCAGUGGGGAAUUUUGGACAAUGGGCGCAAGCCUGAUCCAGCAAUGCCGCGUGCAGGAUGAAGGCCUUCGGGUUGUAAACUGCUUUUGUACGGAACGAAAAGCCCUGGGUUAAUACCCUGGGGUCAUGACGGUACCGUAAGAAUAAGCACCGGCUAACCACGUGCCAGCCGCCGCAGUAAGAC